UCAGGAUUUGGCAGAUAGAGGUAAAUUGGAAUUAGAUACUUUUACAAAGAUGCAUGAUAAAUUUAUACAUGAAGAGAAUUGCCACGUCAAAUUCAAAUUAAGUAUAGAUUGGUAUGAGAAGUGGCAUGCAUUUGCUUCAGGAAAGCAACUUGAGCUGCCUGGUCCAAUCAAAAAUGAAGAUUUAGUUGAAGAGGACUCUACAGAAAAAGGUUGUUUUUGUUAAUGUAGA
rnacentral:lncRNA from 1 species